AGGUGGCAGCUGCAACAAAGCUGCAGCCUUGAUUACCUUAAUUACAUUAAUCAAGCCCUUGGGCUUUUAUAGCUCCUCUCAGCAGCCCUAGGGGCUCAGAGGGCUAUCAUCUGACAGAGCAGAAUGAGCUCGGCAAGAGAAGACAGACAGACGGUGCCGGGGGGACGCUGAUGUUUCUCACCGUUGUGCAGCUGUGCCACAGGUCCAGCAGAGGAAUCUUCUUUCAGCUUAUCUCAGGCCUCCAGAAAGCCUUUCCUCGGUUCCCUUCUGGCCAUCUCUCUGUUCCCAAGUGAUGCUGCACCUCCUGAAACACUGCUGGAGCUCUGCCUGACUGCAUCAGCUACCUGAGCUGCUCUGCUGCUCAAUCCUCCCAGUAACCAGAGACUCUUUUACAUCAGUCUUCAGCCUCCCUUGAAAACCCUACUGAGCCACAGCAACCUGAUCAUCAGGAACUGAUGGACAGGCUCUGUCCCAUAUGGUUACUAGCUGAGGAGGUAUUAGCCUCCGUGGGGAAAGGAACUGUGUACAUUGUCAGCUCUGCUAUCUGAGCACCCAGCAGCCCCACAGACAUCUCCACCUGAAAUCCAAGAGCCAGACCAGUCCAUGUAGCCCCUGUGUGCAUCCCUCCUCCUUUGCCUGGCUAUGAUAGACCCAGGCUCUCUCACAGCUCUGGGGACCAACCUCACUUAGUCGUAACAAGUCUCAAAAGCUCUUUCACAGCAACCCAUGUGUGAACUCAACACCAUCUACCUGCCUCUGUCCUGCACUGGGCAGGUAGAAGGGCACUGGGCACAGUUGGGCUUGGAUGCUGGGGGGUUCAGCCAGAGUGCACUCCACA